rnacentral:rRNA from 1 species
GUAGGCCUACGGGGGGCAGCAGUGGGGAAUAUUGCACAAUGGGGGAAACCCUGAUGCAGCGACGCCGCGUGAGCGAUGAAGUAUUUCGGUAUGUAAAGCUCUAUCAGCAGGGAAGAAAAUGACGGUACCUGACUAAGAAGCCCCGGCUAACUACGUGCCAACAGCCGCGGUAAUACGUAGGGGGCAAGCGUUAUCCGGAUUUACUGGGCGUAAAGGGAGCGUAGACGGCGAAGAAAGGCUGAAGUGAAAG